AGCUGGGAGCACAGUGGUUAGAGCUGGUGUGUUUGUGACCCAAAGGUUGCAGGUUUGAGUCUUGCCUCCAGCUG
rnacentral:tRNA from 1 species